UAGGGAAUAUUGGACAAUGGGGGAAACCCUGAUCCAGCCAUGCCGCGUGAGUGAUGAAGGCCUUAGGGUUGUAAAGCUCUUUCGGCGGGGAAGGUAAUGACGGUACCCGCAGAAGAAGCCCCGGCUAACUUCGUGCCAGCAGCCGCGGUAAUACGAAGGGGGCUAGCGUUGCUCGGAAUCACUGGGCGUAAAGCGCACGUAGGCGGAUUUCUAAGUCAGGGGUGAAAUCCUGGAGCUCAACUCCAGAACUGCCUUUGAUACUGGAAAUCUCGAGUUCGGGAGAGGUGAGUGGAACUGCGAGUGUAGAGGUGAAAUUCGUAGAUAUUCGCAAGAACACCAGUGGCGAAGGCGGCUCACUGGCCCGAUACCGACGCUGAGGUGCGAAAGCGUGGGGAGCAAACA
rnacentral:rRNA from 1 species